GGCGGCCGCCACGCCAAGAUAGCGCUGCGGGAAACCCUGGAGAGAUUGUUCUGAAAAGUAGGCUACACUGGAUAAAGGUAUGUAACUUUCAAUAAAUUGGUUUAUUGUACUGAGGAAACUGGGGAUAAAGUUAUAAUAACUCUUUUAACUCAUUGGCCAGACAAAAAGUUAUUUUCAUUUUGAAUUGCAAAGUUCCAGUUGUCCUGUUUUUUUUUUCUUUAUGAGUACAAGAAGAGAGACAACAACAGAGUCAUUAAUGAGAAGAUGGCAAACAUCUUCUCACUGCGUCGUAAAGAUGUGAUCCAGAAACCACCUGUGGUUGACUUAUAUGCUCGAUGGCCUUCCCUGUUUGAGUUUUCCCAGAUCGAGGAGGAAUUCCGGAGGAUCACACUGAAGCAACUACAGUCAGCAUUCUUUGGGAAGUUGGACGAAUACACGGCUAAAUUGUUAAGACUCUACAGGAGGAAAGGAGGAGCUGUUGGGAAGAAACUUCAUGAGACCCUUGAAAUCCUGAAUGAGGCAUGUACUUUUUUAUGUGGUAGCAUUCCAAUAUCCCUUUUCAGAUCACACAAAAAUCUGUCAUUCAUUUCUUACCCUCAUGUCGUUCCAAAACCGUAAGACUGUUAAGACCCUUAAGUUAAUGUUAAUGUUUCUCCAAUUUUAGCUUCCCUUCAUUGGCUUCCUGUUAAAUCAAGAAUAGAAUUUAAAAUUCUCCUUCUAACGUAU